GGGGCUUGCUGCCGUGAGGCGGCUCCCCUUAAAAUCAUCGGUUUGGCCCGCAUCAUGCGGCUAGCACCUUUGGCGUUGUAUUUUCCUCGCCUUCGAUCGGUCUUGCUCGCUUCCGCGCCUCACCUCGACUUGCCCUUUGGGUGGCGGUCACUUCUUGACAAUCUGGCCUCAAAUCAGGUAGGACUACCCGCUGAACUUAA
rnacentral:misc_RNA from 1 species